GGGCAUGUGGUGGCUUAGUGGUUAGCACGUUUGCCUCACACCUACGGGGUUGGGGGUUCUAUUCCCGCCACGACCC